GACGAACGCUGGCGGCGUGCUUAACACAUGCCAGUCGAACGGAAAGGCCAGGCGUUUGUGGGGUGCUCGAGUGGCGAACGGGGGAGUAACACGUGAGUAACCUGCCCUUGACUGUGGGAGAAAUUCAGGAAACUGGGGCUAAUACCGGAUAGGAGCUCCUGCUGCAUGGUGGGGGUUGGAAAGUUUCGGCGGUUGGGGAUGGACUCGCGGCUUAUCAGCUUGUUGGUGGGGUAGUGGCUUACCAAGGCUUUGACGGGUAGCCGGCCUGAGAGGGUGACCGGCCACAUUGGGACUGAGAUACGGCCCAGACUCCUACGGGAGGCAGCAGUGGGGAGUAUUGCACAAUGGGCGGAAGCCUGAUGCAGCAACGCCGCGUGCGGGAUGACGGCCUUCGGGUUGUAAACCGCUUUCGCCUGUGACGAAGCGUGAGUGACGGUACUGGGUAAAGAAGCACCGGCUAACUACGUG
rnacentral:rRNA from 1 species